GAAGCCGGAAUCGCUAGUAAUCGCGGAUCAGAAUGCCGCGGUGAAUACGUUCCCGGGUCUUGUACACACCGCCCGUCACACCAUGGGAGUCGGAAAUGCCCGAAGUCUGUGACCCAACCGCAAGGAGGGAGCAGCCGAAGGCAGGUCGGAUGACUGGGGUGAAGUCGUAACAAGGUAGC
rnacentral:rRNA from 1 species